rnacentral:rRNA from 1 species
CCUACGGGAGGCUGCAGUGAGGAAUAUUGGUCAAUGGACGAGAGUCUGAACCAGCCAAGUCGCGUGAAGGAUGACUGCCCUAUGGGUUGUAAACCUCUUUUAUCUGGGAAUAAAGUGCUUCACGUGUGGCAUUUUGCAUGUACCUUAUGAAUAAGCAUCGGCUAACUCCGUGCCAGCAGCCGCGGUAAUACGGAGGAUCCGAGCGUUAUCCGGAUUUAUUGGGUUUAAAGGGGGCGCAGGUGGAUUGUUAAGUCAGGUGUGAAAGUUUGCGGCUCAACCCUAGAAUUGCAGUUGAAACUGGCAGUCUUGAGUGCAGUAGAGGUGGGCGGAAUGCGUGGUGUAGCGGUGAAAUGCUUAGAUAUCACGAAGAACUCCGAUUGCGAAGGCAGUUCACUGGAGUGCAACUGACACUGAGGCUCGAAAGUGUGGGUAUCAAACAGGAUUAGAUACCCUAGUAGUC